CUAAGCUCCCACAAAGUGGGGUCUGGGGAAGGUAAGUGUACGCAGUCCAUACCACUACCUCAGAGGUGAGUAAAUUUAAAGUGCAAAUAUUUUAAGAAAAAAAAUUAUAUUUAAAUGGUGUCCAUUAGUUAUGUUCAUAACUUUAUGAGGAAAGACUACUGGUGUUUGCCUUUUUUACAAUCAUACUCUUUCUAUUUGUUUGGUUAAAUUGGUUAGUAAAUACAUUCCUUCUUCUUGGUUCACAAAAUCAUUAAACUAGCUUUUUGCGUACUUUUGUUCAUAACAGUUAAAUGAGGUCUAAACGUCAAAUAUCAGUAUACAUAUAUAAUAGCACCUCUCUAUAGCAUCCACGGAAUGCUCAAGCAAAUGCUGCCACUAUAGCAAGAUUAUGAAAAGUAAAAACCAGUAAAAUUAUCCUUUCAACAUGAUUUUCCUGUGUCUCCUAGCAGUCAAGGAGUUGACAUAAAAGCCUUGGGUACCAAGGUACAAAUCCCAACAGAGGUAACACUGCGAGAAUUUUUCGCAUUUGCCUAAAUCUUGGUGGACAAAAUUAUCUUAUACUUGUAGUGGUUGGAGGUAACAUGUACCUGGUGACUUAAUCAAGCUUACGAGCCUGGAUACCAUGUGUAUAUGUGUAAGAUAUCGACUAACGAACUUGCACAAAAUGAGUUGUUCACAGAUAAUAAUAAGAUUGAUGUAUCUGGCUUUGUUGUGUAAUCAACCAGCAAUGAAGUUUGAUAUUUUCACAUUUAAUUAGAAAAUCACUGGAAAUUGUUUUGUUUCUUUAAUAAUUUUUUAACCAUAGGAAUCAAAAGAAUUGCCCCAUGGUGGAUUGCUUGGCAUUUGAGUUGUGAAAAAGUGCUGAAUCAAGGCAGAGCAGAGUUCGAUACGUAAAGUACUGAUGGAAUAGGAGGGACCUCAAACUUGAAAGGGCUUAGCCAUGCUCUGGCUUACUUCUGUGGAACAUAAUAGGUCCAUGACAACUUCAGUGUUCUUGCUGAGAUAGAAUCUACAAAAGUAUAAGGUGCUAUAUUUUCAUUUAAACCUUCUCUUUAGAAUAUUGUUUAGGAUUAUCCUCCGGUGCACAUUUUGACCCUCUGCUGAUACAAUCUAAAAUGAGGUUUUUUUUUUUUUGAAGUCUUGCCUAUGCCUUACGUGUGGGUUUCUUUGGUUCACAACUUCACAUAAUAUGUAAAACAAUGACCAGUAAAAUUAUCUUUAGGUAAUUUGGUUUUCUUUUCUUCCUAAAAGUUGAAGAGUUGGGAUAUCAACUUUGGUAAGGUUUCAAAUUCCAGUAGAGACGACAUUGCAUGAAUUCUUUCACUUGCCUAAAGCUUGGUGGGCAGAACAAUUUGACACCUGUGCUGAUGGGAGUCAAGCAUUUUGGACUCCACCUUGUGACAGCAUAUGCGAUAUAAGCAGCAAACUUACAUGAAAUUAGUAAACAGUUUGAUAUUUUGUUGUCAAAUGAAUCAGCAAACAGUUUUGUUGUCAAAUGAAUCAGCAAGCAGUUUGAUAUUUUCACAUUGAAUUAGGAAAUUACUAAAGGUUAUUUUGUUUCUUUAAUGAUUUUACUGUGCUGGAAUCAUUAAAAUUGCUCUACAGUGGAUUGCAUGGCUUUUAUGAGCUGCAGAAAAAGUGCUGAUGUUCAGACAAAUGGCAGAGCAGAAAUAGAUAGCUAAAGUUCCAUUGGAAUCUGAGGGACCUCAAACUUGAACGCUUAGCUGUGCUCAGGAGGAUUCAGCAACAACCAUGAAGCUGCUUCAUCUUCAUCUUCUUCAUCUAUAGUCAUAUCAUCUUCAUCUUUAGUCAAACGCAAGAACCCAUAAUUCUCCGUGCUGUCCCCUCUGGGCUCACCAAUUAUCAUUGAAUCAUCACCAACGAUGUCAACAGCUGGAGGACCAUAAAGGGUUCCUGGAAAUUGGAAGCGAGACGAAUUUUAGAAUUUGAUUUUGAUGAUUCAAUCUUUAAGGACUAAUUUAUGUUCUCUUGUAAAUACAAAUGGUGGCUACCUGGAAUGGGCAUAAUCGGGACACGGUGGUGACGGCGUGCCAAGGGGUUGGCAGAAUGGAUGUCAGCGUCGCAGGAGGCACAGAGUGAGGCAGCAUCCGCCUUGCAAAGAAAGGCUGCUGGAGCACACUCGCAGGCCUCGCAAACCCACACUCGCUCGUGACGAGAAGCCUCCAGACCUGCUGCAUGUAUGCGGGCGUCACAGCCCACACACAAAUAGGCGGAAUCUGCCUGGCAGUAAACGGUACAUGCAGCAAAGUGGCAACUGUCACACAUCCUUGCCUAGUUGUUGCUGCUGCCAUCAAAACCUCCACUUUUCUCCUUUUUCAACAUUGAACUAGUUUUGAUUUGUUUCUUUUUCUUCUUGUUCUCUAUUUUCUGUUGUACUUUGAGUACCGGAUUUGAGCAGGUAUGCUGUAAACUUAUGGGGCACUAUGAAAUGUGAAGGAGGGAAAAUAACAGUAUGCAACUACCACGUGGGAAGAGAAUCCACUGGUCCACAGCUUCAAUGUUCUUGCUAAGAUAGAAUCUUCUCUUUUCACCUUUAUGGCAAAAAUAUUGAACCAGUGCUUUCCUAUCGUUGGAGGGGUGGACCUUUUAUUCGUUAUCUUCAGUGAUGGGGAUUUCGUUGUACACAAGGAGAAUCUGGGAAAAACACUAGUUGAGACUUGAGAGAGAGGCCCUGGACCCAAAGCAGCUAUUGAUGAAAGAUGACCACAGUGGAAAGCAGAAAGCAGAACUGAGCUUCAAUUAUAUUGCACCAGCACUCUGUGUCAAAUACAGCCAAUGAGCACCCAAAGGUCGUUGGUAAUAGGGCUUUUACCAUAACUUGUGGCUGCAUUGAGUUCUUUAUAAUGUGGAAAAGUUAAAUGUAGUCAAUUCUUCUUUUCUUUUCCUUUUUUCCCUUUAGGCAUCCUGUAUCUGAAUGUUGCCAAAAGGUGAUUUCUCAUCCUUUCAA